rnacentral:tRNA from 1 species
GUGGUCGUAGCUCAGUAGGUAGAGCUCCUGGUUGUGGUCCAGGCGGUCGCGGGUUCAAAUCCCGUCGAUCACC